GGAUGUGAAGGCGAUCUGGCUGCAGUGUCUGUCACCCCAUUGAUUAGCGUGGCUGAGUUGGCUGGCCUGGCUGGCUAAGUGGGCGCUCUCUUCCUCCCUCACUGCUUCACUUGUGCCCCUGCUCAGUUGAGGAGAAGGGCCUUCCCCAAAUUCAGGGCCAGUCUUCAGUGAAGGCAA
rnacentral:snRNA from 1 species